UACAGAGGUGGCGAGCGUUAUUCGGAAUUAUUGGGCGUAAAGGGCGCGUAGGCGGCCACGCAAGUCUUGGGUGAAAUCCCUCGGCUCAACCGAGGAACUGCCUUGGAAACUGCAUGGCUCGAGGCCGGGAGAGGGUAGCGGAAUUCCCAGUGUAGCGGUGAAAUGCGUAGAUAUUGGGAGGAACACCGGUGGCGAAGGCGGCUACCUGGACCGGUUCUGACGCUGAUGCGCGAAAGCGUGGGGAGCAAACAGG
rnacentral:rRNA from 1 species